rnacentral:rRNA from 1 species
CCUACGGUGUGCAGCAGUGAGGAAUAUUGGUCAAUGGACGAGAGUCUGAACCAGCCAAGUAGCGUGAAGGAUGAAUGCCCUAUGGGUUGUAAACUUCUUUUAUAUGGGAAUAAAAUGUUCCACGUGUGGGAUUUUGUAUGUACCAUAUGAAUAAGGAUCGGCUAACUCCGUGCCAGCAGCCGCGGUAAUACGGAGGAUCCGAGCGUUAUCCGGAUUUAUUGGGUUUAAAGGGGGCGUAGGUGGAUCUUUAAGUCAGUUGUGAAAGUUUGCGGCUCAACCGUAAAAUUGCAGUUGAAACUGGCAGUCUUGAGUGCGGUAGAGGUGGGCGGAAUGCGUGGUGUAGCGGUGAAAUGCUUAGAUAUCGCGAAGAACUCCGAUUGCGAAGGCAGUUCACUGGACUGCAACUGACACUGAGGCUCGAAAGUGUGGGUAUCGAACAGGAUUAGAUACCCUAGUAGUC